rnacentral:rRNA from 1 species
GCGACCCCAGGUCAGGCGGGACUACCCGCUGAAWUUAAGCAUA